GAGAAUAUUUGGGAGAGAGAAAUUGUAACUGUAUAUUUCAAUCCACUAACAAUUAUAUUGUUUGAGAAAAGUUUAUAUAGGCACUUUGGCUUUAACAGACUCUAGACCUAUUUAACAAACUCUGGGCUUUCCGACUACACUUAGUUACAUUUUGUAACAAUAUUUCUAGGGUUUUAAUGAUUCACCUUCACACCUCCCUCAAGUAGCGGUGAUAGAGCUUCGUGAGAGCAGAUCAGCUAUCUGAGCAAUCGAAGGAUUGGAUUUGAGCUGAGAUCUAUUGAGCUUAGGUUGUCACACCAUAGGAUUGGCGUCUAGGGAACCGCAAUUUGUAGCUCGUGGAACAAUGUCUUCAGCCAUAUCAGUUCAGAGGCGGCUAAGGCUAAUGCACAAUACUCGACUUCUGUGCUUGACCUCGAAAUUAUUGUUUGUUUCUUUGACCACCAGGAAAUAGGAUUGCCACCAAGAUAUACACAGAAUCCAGAUGUGGAUUUUCUAUCAUCUGGGUCUGAUGCCCAGUCGACGUCAAAAUAGGCUGUAAGAGUCAUGUGUGAGGGUUUUUGGAGAAGGAGUCCAUUAUCAAAUGUCUCUUUUAGAUAUCUAAGUAUACGUUUAACAAGUUGACAGUGUGUAGUGGUAGGUGCAUCCAUAAAUUGGCAUGCUUUAUUAACUGAGUAGGAUAGUUCCGGUCUAGUGAGUGUGACAUACUGAAAAGCCCCUACAAUGCUUCUGUAUUGAAAAGAAUCAGAAAGUGGGUCCCCCUAUAAGAUAGAUCCAAUUACCAUAGGUGUAGAAAUAGCAUUAGCUUCCAUCAUAUUAGCUCUUUGUUGCAGAUCUAUUAUAUAUUUCGAUUGUGAGAGAAAAAUACUUUCAUUGGUAGGAUAGGAGACUUCGAUGCCUAAAAAGUAGCUGAGCUUUCCCAAAUCCUUUAAUGAGAAUUUUCUAUGAAGUGUAGAAAUCAAGUUUUGUAUGUCAGCCUCAUAACUCCCGUCAUCCACAUAAAUCAAGAUGUAGCAGCUAUGGUUACCAUAUAGUCUGUAGAAGAGAGAUGGAUCAGCUUUAGAACCAAUAAAUCCAAGGGAAAUGAUAAAAGAACUUAGGCGUUUGAACCAGGCUCUAGGUGCCUGUUUAAGGCGAUAAAGAGCUUUUCGUAAUUUGCAUACGAGAUAUUUUUAGUGAGGAAAUAUGAAAUCAGUAGGCUGAUCCAUAAGUACUGUCUCAUUUAGAAGUCUGUGCAAAAACGCAUUGUUGAUAUCUAUUUGUCUGAGAGACCAACCCUUAGCUAGAGCUAAUGUGAAUAAAACUUGAAUAGUAAUAGGUUUAACAACUGGGCUAAACGUCUUUGAGUAGUCAAUAUCUAUUGUUUGAUGGAAUCCUUUUGCCACUAGACGUGCUAUAUAACGGGAAAUAGAUCCAUCUGUGUUGCGUUUUAUUUUGAACACCCAAUUACAACCUACUAUAUUUUGAUUUGGCAGAGGAUUAACUAGUUCCCAUGUCUCAUUCUUCGUUAGAGCUAAAUAUUCUUCUUCCAUGGCCUUUUUCCAAUGGCUAUGCUUUAAGGCUUCCUUAACUUCUGUGGGCUCAAUUUCUUUGUAAUAAGCUAGGUAAGCUUUAUGCUUAAAAAUGUCAUUCUUUCCCCUCGUAACCAUGCUGUGAGUAUUUUGUAUAAGUGUUGGAUGGACAAUAGAAUUAGUUGCUAUGGGAACAGUCUCUAUAGGUGGUGGUGUAUUGGAGGGUAGAUUAGGAGAAGAUAUGAGUGGGGUAGUUUCUGUGGGUGGUCUAGAUGGGAUAGGGUCCAUAGGAAUGUUUAGGUCAGUUAAGUAAUGCUAGGUGGUAAAGAAGGAGAAGUUGGAUCUUUGGGAGAAUGAGAAGGAGAAUUAUUUAUUGAGGUAUGAGAGAUUGGAUGAGAUAUAGGGGAUAACGAGAAAGAGGCAGUAGGUAUGGAUGAUGAUGACAUAUGAUUAGGUAUUUGAGGUAAAGUAGAUAGAGUGGUUGUGACAGUAGGGAAGUGAGAGAGUUUGAGGAUAGGAGAAAUAUUAUGAGUUCAAAAAGGGAAAAAGGUCUCAUUGAAUGUGACAUUUCGAGAAAUAUAUAAAUGUCCAGUAGAGGAUAGACAUUUAUAUCCCUUGUGAAUGUUACUAUAGCCAAGAAAAAUGCAGGGAGUAGAGCGGGGUUGAAAUUUAUGAGAGUUAUAUGGGCGGAGACAGGGGAAACAGAGACAUCCAAAGGUUUUGAGGAGUGAAUAGUUGGGUUUUUGGUGAAAAAGUCUCUCCAUAGGGCUUACCCAAUCAAGAUUAGGUGUAGGGAGCCUAUUUAUAAGGUAAAUAGCAGAUGAGAAUGCAUCAUCCCAGAAUUCUAGGGGCAUGGAAGAGUGAGAUAGUAAUGUUCGGCCAACUUCAACUACAUGGCUAUGCUUUCUUUCUACAAUGUCAUUCUGUUGAGAUGUAUAGGGCAAGAGAAGCGAUGUUCUAUUCCAUUUGAUUUGAGAUAGGGAGUAAAGGCUUUGAAUUCGCCACCACCAUCAGAUUGGAAGUUGAGAAUGGAAGAGUUUAGUCAUUUUUCAAUGAAUGAUUUAAAUUGAAUGAAGGCAGAUAAGGCUUGAGACUUGGUUUCUAAGAAAUAGAUCCAAAUGUAUUUGGAAUAGACAUCAAUGAAUGUAAUAUAGUAUUUGAAAUUAUUUCGAGAGGUUUUAGAAGCUGGCCCCCCAUAAGUCAGAUACAAUGAAUUGAAGAGGAGUAGUGUAUAUGGUUUGAGAUGGAGUAAAAGGUAGAGAAUGGCUUUUGCCCAAUGCACAAGCAGUACAAAAUGAGUACUUUUUAUUGAAAUGGGAAUUAGGAUUACAUUCAUUUAGAACUUUAUUUACAACAAGAUUAGAGGGAUGCCCUAAUCUACUAUUCCAUAUAUCCAUUGGAGAAUUACAUUUUGGGAGAGUAGAUAGUGAUGGAUGUUCUGAAGUGGUAUGAAGAACAUGGUUGGUGAUGAAUUUGUUUGUAGAAUCCUUGGGAGAUGCCUUUAGCUUGAAUGAGUAGAGCCCAUUAUGGAGAGAACCUUGAAGAAUUACCAGUGUAGCGUUCCUUAACAAAACAAAAAUUAGGAUGAAAUUUGAAAUAAACUUGAUUCUCCCUAGCAAAUUGGCUAACACUAAGUAGGUUUUUAGUAACUGAGGGAACAUAUAAUAGAUUUUGUAGUUGAAAAUUUUGGUUGGUAGAGGUGAGAAGAGAGGAAUAACUGGAGUGGGUAAUAGACAAACUUGUCCCAUUGGCAGUAUGAAUUUGCUGUCCAUCCAGUACUUCAUUUUUCACAGUAAGGUUAUUCAAGUCAUUUGUAAUGUGAUUGGUGGCACAUGAAUCGGGAUACCAAUUUGUAUCUUUGUUGAAUUCGGAAGCCAUCAACAUUGUCGACAUAUUAUUCUAUUGUGGGAAUGAUGCUGCUGAUUGAUGUGGAUGAGUUCUGCCAUUGUAGUUCAUUCCAGGAUUAGAGUUAGUGGGUACUCGAAAGUAACAUUUAUCUGCUGUGUGACAAAAUUUGUGACAUAUUUGGCACUGUAUUCUAGUUCUUGAAUACCAUUGUCUACCUCCCCCUCUUUGAUUUCUUCCUCUACCACGAUUGUUGUUAUAAUUGCCUCUAUUGUUGUAUUGCUGUGUAUGAUGGUUUCUUGGAUUUUCAUUAUUAUGUGGCCCUGUUUACUGCUGUUGAGCAAGAUUUACAGACGGUAGAGAUGAAUCUUUCAUGUUUGAUGCUGCCAAUUCUUUUUCCAUUCGACUUUCAUGAGAUAGUAAUAAAGAAGUAACUUCUUGAAUUGAUACCGAUCAUGUCUUUACAGUAAUUACCGCCACAGUGGACUCAUAUUCGACACCUAAUCCUGAUUGAAUGUGUAACACGUGAUCUUCUGUAGAGAUAGUUUUCCCUGUGAAUCAAUUAGAUUCUUGAUUUGGUGCAUGUAAUCUUUAAGUGUGAGACUUCCUUUUCGGAGAUUUUGUAGCUUGGUUCUAAGUUUCAUAACUUUGACAAGAUUUCUGCUGGUGAACAUUUGUUCAAGAUUACUUCAUACUUCUUUUGAUGUCUUGCAAUGAAGGAGAUCAGCAAGAAUCUUCUCACCCAUUGAUCCCAGUAGCCACGACAUUAUAAGUCUAUCUUAUUUCUUCCAUUUUGUAGAUGUUGGAUUCAAUCUUUGUGUUGAUUCUGAGUUUUCUGUGAUUGUCAGAUAUUUUUGUGGGGCUUCAAAUUCUUCAUCAAUUAAGUCUUCCAAUCCAUGACCUUCUAAUGCAGCAAGAACCUGAAAAAGGUUGUUAUCUUGUUACCUAGAUUUAUGGUUUGUGUAGCAGCAUUCACAGUGACUUCCGAAUUGACUUAUGUGGAAUCAAUCAUUCUUGAAUUGUUGUUUAGACUUCAGUGCUCUGAUACCAUAAAGCGAGUGGAGAAUAUUUGGGAGAGAGAAAUUGUAAUUGUAUAUUUCAAUCCACUGACAAUUACAUUGUUUGAGAAAAGUUUAUAUAGGCACUUUGGGCCUAUUUAACAAACUUUGGGCUUUCCAACUACACUCAGUUACAUUUUGUAACAAUAUCUCUAGGGUUUUAAUGAUUCACCUUCA